GCCCCUUUAGCUCAGUCGGUAGAGCAACGCAUUCGUAACGCGUAGGUCGCCGGUUCAAAUCCGGCAGGGGGCU
rnacentral:tRNA from 1 species